GUAUAGUCGAUUUCGUAUUUCACUCUGAAUUAUUGUCAACGAUACGGUAGGAACAAAUAUCAAAUCACCACCAGAUUGUACACCAAACAAAAGCUCAUAUUUGCUAUCAGGCAAAUUACAAUCAAUAUCCUUGUCGUUAAAAACGGAAGGGGUUCCAAAAAUCAAAGAAAUAUUUUUAUCGAGAAUAUAACACAUCCAAAAUAUCCUUUUCCACGAUUCAGCCUUUUCAGGCUCCACAUCAGUGGAUUGCUUUCUAUGUAAGUUUAAUUGUUGGGCCAUGAGGCAGGCUUGGCCGCACAAAGUCCGACAUAAAGAAGAGCUAGACAGGUAAGCUGCGUACUGUGUCAUGACAAUUAAAGCCUGAACUUUGUCAAUGCUCGGAGUAAGAAAAAAGUCGGACUUUUGAACAAAAACCCAAGCUGUUGAAAACAAAGACUCUGCAAGCGUCUUUGAGUUACCAAGUCUUUUCCUAAUGCUGCUUAAUGCUAAAAUAGAAUAAAAAGAAAUUAGCCAAGCAUUAUUGCUAUGGAACCCGAACGCAUAAAGACGUUCGAACUCAUACAUAAAAUCAUUAUAUACGAAGGUAGGCCACCACCAAUUUACAUGCUGAAAGUAAGACGUGACUAACUCAUGGGCUACUUCCUUCUUGGGAAUGUCAUGGAAUGCCUUCUCCCAGUCCGGCAACUGUGGAGGGAACAAGCUUUCCACAUUCAGUAUCCGAGUAGGUGUAUUGUCGACAGGGCUACCUUGUCUGUGUUUAAUAACAAUCGAUUCUGCAUCUUUAAUUUGUGUAACCAAGGAAGGUAAUUCAAUAGCCUUAUUUUCACGUUUAAAUUCUGAAGUUUCAGUAGCUAUAUCUAACAACAAAUCGAUUUUUUCUUCAAGCAAUUUAAGGCGUCUCUGAACGGAUUCUUCACCAUCCUCGGGUUUUUCAAUGUUUUUACUAAUAGUUCCAUUAGUAGUUAAUGCAAAAUUUUCUUGAUUUGGAAUUGAGUGAUCACUCGGUUCUGGCUCAUUGCCGUUAAUACCAGCGGCAUAAUCAAACACGGGUAACGUAAUUCCCCCAAACGUCUCCUUGCUUCUUUGAACAAGUCUCUUACGGCGAGCACGAUUAGAAUAAUGACAGUCCGCUUGAAAAAGAGUACAAGUCUGACAUCUUGGUUGCCCUCGACUACAUUUAAUCUUCUUCAACCUGCAAAGAUCACAUGCUUUAUUUUGAGACAUCUUAUGUUAAGAAAAGAGUAAUUAAACAACUAUCUUAAAUUCUAGCUGAAUGCGUAUCAAUUGUAAGCAAGCAUUACCGCCUUUGGUGCAGUUUACUGUUAAAAAGCAUAUACAUCUGCAGAUUUAUUUUAGCACUACUCAAGUCGUGCUUAAGUAUAGGUUAUAAGGGAAGUGAUGAUAAGAAAAUCUGGACAAGACGAUAAGUAUACGUACUCGAAAGAUAAAAAAAAUUUUAUAUAAUCUUAUAUUACUGAUAAUGAUAACAGAGCCACUAAUUCAUUAAAAGACAUUAAAACAAUAUUAAGCUAUUUAACUAAGACUAGGAACAAAAGAAUAAAAAAGAACUGUUAAUAAACAUACAAUUAUAAAAGCACAGUAAAAAUACAAUGAAACAGCGUAGCUGUUGCCAAAAAGAAGAGUUAAGAAAAGUAUAACACUCAGGUUAAAUUACUCUGUGAUUUGCUUCUGGUCAAAAUCUUUUGGCAAAGGUAAACUGCUUAAAGAUAGUUCAUUUAGUGGAACACCAGAUAUGUACUCGUUCUCCUGUUGAACAGUAGGUAUUGGACCUGUAAAAAAAGUUUUACCACCAAUCUUUGGCAAAUAAUAAUACACCACGCAAAAGACCAUUACAAAUCCAAGGACCACUAUAGCCCAAUUCAUCUCAUCUUGGUUGGGCUUUUGAUAUUGAGGAAACAAAAGCAUAAGAAUCAUAAACCACAUCCAAACUAAUGACCAUAAGGCUGCUGGUUUGCUCCAUUUUCCAACGUAGAAAACACCAGGUUGAAAUUUAUUGUACACAAAUCGACACAUAAGAGGGCCGGAAUAAGCGAUAUAAAGAGCAAUAAUUGCUAAAUUAAACACAGAAGAAAUGGCAGUGACAUUAACCAAAAUUAGUAGACCGACUAAAAGGCUAUAGAGUAGCACUAAAAGAAUUGCAUUUAAGGGAACUUUCUGUUUAGUCAAAAGACGUAAGUAUCUACUUCCUGGAAUCCCGCCGUCUCUGCAGAAAGCAAAUACUUCUCUAGAUGCAGCAAUCAGUAACGAAAUGCAGUUCAAACAAAGGGCAAUGACCAGCAAAGAGAAAAUUCCUAAAGCUCCCUUAUUUCCAACAUUGUUAACCAGUACUUGAGCUACAGGCUGGCCUAAAGAGGAACCUAGAAUGGCAUUAAAAUCGUGACCCAUAGUAGCUACAACGGUGAUAACGAUGCACCAUCCAAGAAUGGUAGCCACACCAAGACUGGAAAUCAUAGCAAAGGGAGCUGCUUUGGCAGCAUUCGUUGAUUCUUCAGCAACAGCGGCGCUAGAUUCGAAUCCGCUUACAACCCACACAGGAGUAGUGAAUGAAAGUAUAAAUGCCCAUCCCAUGUUUGACCAUCCAGAAUAAUUUGUAAAAUCACCGAAUAUAAAACUUCCAGAAUUUCUAGUAGUAGAGUCAGAUCCUGCGGCAAGGGCAAUAAUAAGAAUAAUGGAUACAAGGAAUUGGAAGGUAAUAUUAAUGAUGUUCAC